rnacentral:rRNA from 1 species
GCGGUGGAGCAUGUGGUUUUAAUUCGAUGCAACGCGAAGAACCUUACCUGGGCUUGACAUCCCCGGGAAUCCCCUGGAAACAGGGGAGUGCCCUUCGGGGAACCCGGUGACAGGUGCUGCAUGGCUGUCGUCAGCUCGUGUCGUGAGAUGUUGGGUUAAGUCCCGCAACGAGCGCAACCCUUAUCCCCAGUUGCCAUCAGGUAAAGCUGGGAACUCUGGGGAGACUGCCGGUGAUAAACCGGAGGAAGGCGGGGAUGACGUCAAGUCCUCAUGGCCCUUACAUCCCGGGCUACACACGUGCUACAAUGGCAGGUACAGAGGGCUGCAAAGCCGCGAGGUAGAACGAAUCCCAGAAAACCUGUCUCAGUCCGGAUUGAAGUCUGCAACUCGACUUCAUGAAGGCGGAAUCGCUAGUAACCGCGAAUCAGCAGGUCGCGGUGAAUACGUUCCCGGGCCUU